rnacentral:rRNA from 1 species
UACGUAGGGGGCAAGCGUUGUCCGGAAUCACUGGGCGUAAAGGGCGCGUAGGCGGCGCGGUAUGUCACCUGUGAAAUCUUCUGGCUCAACUGGGAGCUUGCAGGCGAAACUGCCGUGCUGGAGUGUGGGAGAGGUGCGUGGAAUUCCUGGUGUAGCGGUGAAAUGCGUAGAUAUCAGGAGGAACACCUGUGGCGAAAGCGGCGCACUGGACCACAACUGACGCUGAGGCGCGAAAGCUAGGGGAGCAAACAGG